rnacentral:tRNA from 1 species
GCGGUCGUGGCGGAAUGGUAGACGCGCAGCGUUGAGGUCGCUGUCCGGUAACACGGGUGGAAGUUCGAGUCUUCUCGACCGCACCA